CGGGACGGGUGAGUAAUGUCUGGGAAACUGCCUGAUGGAGGGGGAUAACUACUGGAAACGGUAGCUAAUACCGCAUAACGUCGCAAGACCAAAGAGGGGACCUUCGGGCCUCUUGCCAUCGGAUGUGCCCAGAUGGGAUUAGCUAGUAGGUGGGGUAACGGCUCACCUAGGCGACGAUCCCUAGCUGGUCUGAGAGAUGACCAGCCACACUGGAACUGAGACACGGUCCAG
rnacentral:rRNA from 1 species